ensembl:lncRNA
GCGCCGACCGCGCCAGAGCAGCUCUGCCAGAUGCAGCUGUGGCACAAUGGGGAGGGGGGAUGCGGUGAGACCACGGUGUCCCCACGGCACCGUACGGCACAGCUCAGCCCCACGGCGUCCCCAUGGCACAGCUCAGCCCCACGGCGUCCCCACGGUGCCCCCACGGCACUGUAUGGCAUAGCUCAGCCCCACAGCGUCCCCAUGGUGUCCCCAUGGCACAGCUCAGCCCCACGGCGUCCCCACGGUGUCCCCACGGCACUGUAUGGCACAGCUCAGCCCCAACGCGUCCCCAUGGCACAGCUCAGCCCCAUGGCACCGUAUGGCACAGCUCAGCCCCAUGGCGUCCCCACGGCACUGUAUGGCACAGCUCAGCCCCACAGCCGUCCCCAUGGCACAGCUCAGCCCCAUGGCACUGUAUGGCACAGCUCAGCCCCACAGCGUCCCCAUGGCACAGCUCAGCCCCACGGCACCGUAUGGCACAGCUCAGCCCCAUGGCGUCCCCAUUGCACCGUAUGGCACAGCUCAGCCCCACAGCACCGUAUGGCACAGCUCAGCCCCACGGUGUCCCCAUGGUGUCCCCAUGGCAGAGCUCAGCCCCAUAGCAUCCCCAUGGCACAGCUCAGCCCCAUGGCAUCCCUAUGGCACAGCUCAGCCCCACAGCAUCCCCAUAGCACAGCUCAGCCCCACAGUAUCCCCAUGGCACCGUAUGGCACAGCUCAGCCCCACAGCGUCCCCAUGGUGUCCCCAUGGCACAGCUCAGCCCCACGGUGUCCCCAUGGCACCGUAUGGCACAGCUCAGCCCCACGGCACCAUAUGGCACAGCUCAGCCCCACGGCGUCCCCAUGGCACAGCUCAGCCCCAUGGUGCCCCUAUGGUGUCCCCACGGCACCGUAUGGCACAGCUCAGACCCAUGGUGUCCCCAUGGCACUGUAUGGCACAGCUCAGCCCCACGGCGUCCCCAUGGCACAGCUCAGCCCCACGGCGUCCCCACGGUGUCCCCACGGCACUGUAUGGCACAGCUCAGCCCCACAGCGUCCCCAUGGUGUCCCCAUGGCACAGCUCAGCCCCACGGUGUCCCCACGGCACUGUAUGGCAUAGCUCAGCCCACCGACGUCCCCAUGUGUCCCAUGGCACAGCUCAGCCCCACGGCGUCCCCACGGUGUCCCCAUGGCACUGUAUGGCACAGCUCAGCCCCACAGCGUCCCC